rnacentral:lncRNA from 1 species
GCACUGAGAACAUUCAGGACAAACUUCUGUUGCUGUGAAGCUGGCACAGAAGAUAAUCCACCCACUGAAGAGCAGAAUUAGCACCGGGGCUUUGGUGUUGGGUUUGUUUCCCUGAAAUAACUUCUUUCUCAGGCUUCCCAUGGCAUCACGGUGAAUCUCUGAAACGUGAAAUUUUAGGCAACAUCAGCGGUCUUUUUUUUUUUUUUUUUCUUUUCUUACAAUGGUUUCUAAGACAUAGGGCUGAACUCAUGGUCACAGUAAGGCAAUGACAACUCGGACUCCUACCCACGGCCAGCGGCUAGCUGCUGUAGGGUUCUGCUUCUGCUCGGCUAUCAUUUGCACCCUGGCUUCCAUGGCUGCUUCCCAGUGUUGACAGGGAUAGAGAGGAGAGUAAAGAGACAAGGGAGGACCGAACAGGAAGAAGAUGGGAGUCUGAGCAUGGAAGGGAAGGGACUGAAACGUGCUGCUCUGAGAGGACUUCAAAACAUGGACAACAGGAUGUCAGCUUUUUAGGAAAGUUGAGAGGAUCUCACAACCUCCCGCCUUUGUAUUAGUCGCUGAAGGAGAUGAGGAGGAGGAGGAGGAGUCACUUCAGCCAGUGACAGAAGACCGAAGGUUUGCCGAAAUCCCCAGAGAAUUCACAGACUGAGCCAAGUGCUAAGGAUCCUUAGAGAGUCAGGAGUGGCUGGGAAGAAAUUCGGAAUCUUUUCCUGUCCCUUGGAAGCCAUCAAAAGAGCUCGAAUAAAGAGGAAUGUGUAUGAAAGU